AUGUAGCAUCUUAGCAAGAUUUUAUCCAUCAAGAAUUGAAAAAUAUUGCCUCUUUCUUAUCCCACCCAUUUAGGGUGGAGUUAUUAAGAAUCAGCAUUGCAGUCCCAGUUAUUUCACUUAGUUAUUUUGAGGUAGGAAGGGGAUUACCUCAUUGGCUAAGCUAUUAUUGUAAGCUGGACAUAAUAGUUAGAAAUGACUGAAAGUGUAAGAAAAUGGGCUGACUUCUCAACCCUAGGCACCACAGCCUACCAAACCAGACAGCUCAGACUUUCCCCUUGUGAUAGCCCUGUGGCUUCCGCCUAGACCAUAUAAAACUGAAACCAUCCAGCUGGAGGAAAAGCUUUGGAGCAGAUUGUUUGUGAAAAAUGUAAGGAUGAGACAUCUAGUUCAACUUUAACCUUCAAAUGGGGAAUGCCCAUAGGCAAAAAGUAUCUUGCAAAGUGCUUUUUCUUCUGCAUUGUACUGGCUUGGCUCACUUGUCUUUCUAUGCAAUUGUGGGAGCUUACAGUUUUACUCUAUGUAACCAUACAGCUAUCAAGACAGACUAUCGGAAUAUGCUACAGGUAUGGCACUGGUUGGGAUGAAGGGAGAAUGUAUAGACACAGCUUAUUAGACAGUGUCUGCAAUAGUUGCAGUCAGUGACAGGUUCUCUAAGAGUAAAUGCCUUAAGACUUAAAAUGCAGGUAGUAUCUUCAAGUGGAAAGUUUUACCAUCAUCUCUCAAAAUUCAGGCCAUGCUGGAUU